rnacentral:rRNA from 1 species
GAUUCCCCUAGUAACUGCGAGUGAAGAGGGAAAAGCUCAAAUUUAAAAUCUGGCAGGUUUCCUGUCCGAGUUGUAAUUUAGAGAAGUGUUGCCCGCGUUGGACCGUGUACAAGUCUCCUGGAAUGGAGCGUCAUAGAGGGUGAGAAUCCCGUCUUUGACACGGACUACCAAGGCAUUGUGGUACGCUCUCGAAGAGUCGAGUUGUUUGGGAAUGCAGCUCUAAAUGGGUGGUAAAUUCCAUCUAAAGCUAAAUAUUGGCGAGAGACCGAUAGCAAACAAGUACCGUGAGGGAAAGAUGAAAAGAACUUUGGAAAGAGAGUUAAACAGUACGUGAAAUUGUUGAAAGGGAAACGCUUAAAGUCCAGUCGCGUUGGUUAGCAAUCAGCCUUGGGAAGAGAUUUCCUUGGUGGACUUGGUAAUCGACGGGUCAACAUCAGUUUUGAGCGUUGGAUAAAUGUCAAGGGAAUGUGGCAUCCUCGGAUGUGUUAUAGCCCUUGAUUGUAUACAGCGAUUGGGACUGAGGAACUCAGCACGCCAUUUAUUUUGGCCGGGUCUUGUACCACGUACGUGCUUAGGAUGUUGGCAUAAUGGCUUUAAUCGACCCGUCUUGAAACACGGACCAAGGAGUCUAACAUGCAUGCGAGUGUUUGGGUGUAAAACUCUUGCGCGUAAUGAAAGUGAAAGUUGAGAACUCUUAGAGUGCAUCGACGCCCGGAGCUGAGCUUUUGUGAGGCAUCCGCGGUAGAGCAUGUAUGUUGGGACCCGAAAGAUGGUGAACUAUGCCUGAAUAGGGUGAAGCCAGAGGAAACUUUGGUGGAGGC